UACGUAGGGGGGCAAGCGUUGCCCGGAUUUAUUGGGCGUAAAGAGCGUGUAGGCGGCCUGACAGGUCUGCUGUGAAAACUCGAGGCUCAACCUCGAGAUGUCGGCGGAAACCGUCUGGCUAGAGUCCGGGAAGAGGAGAGUGGAAUUCCUGGUGUAGCGGUGAAAUGCGCAGAUAUCAGGAGGAACACCGAUGGCGAAGGCAGGUCACUGGGCCGCAACUGACGCUGAGGAGCGAAAGCAUGGGGAGCAAACAGG
rnacentral:rRNA from 1 species